CGCCCCACCGCCGCCACCCCCUCCCCCUCCGCCCCAGCACCCUCGCUCGUCUUCCUCCCCGCGCGAGCGCCGCCACCGCCGGUUGGUCUCCCCUUCGACUCUCUCGCCCCCGACCGUUUAUCCUCCCAUCACCCCCACGAACCGAUCCCGCCCUUUAGCUCACCGUUUCAUGUCCUUAAUUUUCUCCGAUUCGUAACUGAGGUAAAAAUCGAGGCAUCAAAAUCCUGAUUGGAUAGAAGUCAGUGAGGCCAGCCGAUGGGUUUUGAUAAUGAAUGUAUUCUGUACAUUCAAUCUCUUCCCGGUGAAUAUUUUUGCCCUGUUUGUCGGACACUCAUAUACCCCAACGAAGCUUUGCAAACUCAGUGCACACAUCUCUACUGCAAACCUUGCUUGGCUUAUGUAGCAGCUACCACACAAGCCUGCCCUUAUGAUGGCUACUUAGUGACAGAAGCUGAUUCCAAGCCUCUGGUGGACUCGAAUAAAUCACUUGCUGAGUCAAUUGGUAAAGUUACAGUACACUGCUUGUACAAUAAGAGUGGUUGCCAAUGGCAAGGAAAUCUUUCUGAAAGCAUCACACAUGGUACUGCUUGUGCCUAUGGGAACUCCCCUGUUGUUUGCAACCGCUGUGGCACACAGAUUGUACAUCGUCAAGUGCAAGAACAUGCCCAGCUUUGCCCUGGCUCGCAAUCUCAAACACAACAGUCUGGCAGUAGUCUGACACAGUCAUCAGCUGCAACAACCCAGGCAGUCACCCAAGAUCCGUCUGCACUUCCCUCUGCGGUUUCGUCAGCAGUGCCUGCAGCAGCUCCUCUUACAGCAGUCCCACCUGCAAGUACAGCUGGAGCUGCAACAGCUUCUGCAGUGGCAGCUAGUUCGGCUGGUGCAACCACAGCAAGCAUGGCGGCUGUGGCCCCUUUCCUCGCAGCGGCACCUGCUGCUGCUAGUCAAGGUCAAGCAGUUGCUCCCCAAACUCAAACAGCCGAGCAGUACCAGCAGCAGCUCCAGUACCAACAGUAUUACCAGCAGCAUUACCCUGGCUACAACCCCUACACCCAGCAGUAUCAACAGUAUGGGCAAUAUCAGCAGUACCCACAGCCUCAACUGCAAGUGGCACCGCAGCAUGUUGCUCAAGCUUCUGCACAACCUGCUCCAUAUGCUCAGCCUCAAUUCCCGCAGCCCUCUCAAGCCCAACACAUGGUGGCAAACCAACAAAAUCAGUCCCACCUUUCCCAAUUCCAAGCACCAGUAGUUCAGCCACAGCCUCAGCAGAAUCCGCCAUUGCAGUCAGCACCUCAAGUUCCACAAAUGCAACCACAUGGUGAAGUACCUCUCCAGCUACCUCACCCCCAAGCACAACCUUCUACUCAAGUUGGUAGCCAGCCAUUUGCAAUUCCUGCUACUCAAGCAGUAGUCUCCCAGGUGCAGGCACAUGUACAAUCUCAUCCUCAACAAUAUCAGCAGGCAGUUGGCCAGCAACAGCAUACACAAAUGCAGCACUUACCUCAGCAGCAUCAUCUUCAAUCUCAGACCCAGCACCAGCAUGCACAAGUGCAACAGCAAUCCUACCCACAACCUCAGGUCUAUAAUCAGCCUCAUACAGUGCCUCAUGCACAACCUCAGAAUCCUUCAAUACAUGCUGUAACGGGUCAUCAAUCAUAUCCACAGCCUCAGCCAGCACAUCAGAGUCAGAUGCCUCAUGGUGCAACACUUCAACACCCUGCACAUGCGUCUCACCAACAAUUAGUUGGUCCUCAGUAUCCUGCACUUGUUCGCCCCCUGCAGGGUCAAUUUCCAUUGCAAGGCCAACAGCCAGCUAUGCUGGCUCCUCAAGGAAGUCAGCAUGCACAACAACAUCAGCAACAUGUUGGGCAUCAUGCUCAGCAGCCACCAAUGCAUCCCAGCAUCCCUUCCCAGGCACCAGCACAAGGAUUUCCUCUUAACACAUCUGUUCCUUCACAAACGGGUCAAUUAUACCAACAAGGAAUGCACUCAUCACAACAACAGAUGCAUUCUCAACCUUUCCAGCCCCAUGGUCCACCAUUCAUGCAACAGCAGCAUGUCCCAACUUCAACUAGUAGGUCUACGAGUCAUGUUGCAACAGCACACCAGUUCCAAGAAUCAGGGAAGUCAGAAAAUGCAGCCAAUGCUACUGGCAAUGCUGAAGUAAGUGAUAAUAGAAACAGAGGUGUUGAAUCUUCUGGCAUAAAGCCGCAAUCUCUGGUUGAUAAAAAUGUGAGCAGAGAGCAGAAUGAUUUUGGUAAUAUUAGAAAAGAUGCGUCACAAACUGGCAUUGCAUUGGGCGGUGCAGAUGGUUCGGACAAAGGCAAAGGAAAGGAUGAAUUUACUGGCCAGGAAAGUAAUUCACAUGUUACAGAUGUACGUGGAGGCCAAGAGUCUAAGGUCUCAAAUAUAUCCAAUGAUCUUGAAAAAGGAGGAUCAAAUCUGAGAGGACUGGGGUCCUAUGUGCCCCCUGGUAUGGGGCCACAGUUUCCAUCUGGACCUGAUAAGAUGCUCCCUCAACAUAUGCUCCAUACUGGUCCUAUGCCGCCUACGCAAGGACAGCUGAAUCAGAUGAGACCACCUAGGCAUAGCUUUCCUGAAAAUAUCCAGCCUACAAUGCAGCAACAACCAUAUGGUUCAUAUCAAUCUGAAAUGGCACCAAGGGCAUUUGCACCAAACCUUCCAAGGCCUGGACCCAUCAGACCUGAUGAUGGCAUGAUUCGGCCACCCAUGGGUGGACCCUUGCCUGGACAUCAUGACCCAAUUGGUCCACCUUUUGCUCCAGAAAAUGUUGGUCGGCCUCAUUCUAUUGGAAUGAUAAAGAGCAAUGGUGUUGGCAGUGGGCCACUUGAGAAUUCCAGGGCUUUCCAUGAGGAAGGGUUCAAUACUUCAUGGGAACAUUCCAGGUCAUUGGCAUCAUAUCCUGGCAGAUACAAUGCCAACCCUAAAGAUAUUGAAGAGAAUAUGAAGCAAUUUCCAGGGCCAACACAUCAUGAUGGCGACGGUCUUCAAAGGCCCCCCAGGCCUUUUGAUAGUUUCGCUGAUUCAUUACCUGGAAGGCUUCCAUUCCCAAACAAGCCAGGUCCAUACCCUAUGGGAUUCCCUGAAGAUUUAUCAAGAAAACCUCAUUCAAUUGGUGGUCAUCCUGACUUAGAAUUUGGUAAUCACAGGAUGGACGGAAUCCCUAGAAACCCAGGUCCAUUUGUCCAAGGACUGGCAGCUGGGCCUGGAGGUCUUCGUAAAGACCAACUAGGCUCUGCGAACCUUCCUGGGAAUAUACAACGUGAUUUUGACAAUCCCGAGUUCCAACGUCAACAUUUCCACCCUGGUGAUACUUUUGUUCCAAGAAAUCUACAUGGAGGUGGAGAACCCCUUGGACAUGGUCAAUUGCAUGGAAUUGAACCUUCUGGUUACCGCUUCCAAGGUCACAUGCAUCCAGAUGAUCCAAAUCUUGUUGAAUAUUCUCAACAUGGUUAUCCACAAGAAUCUGGCAACUUCAGUUUGGGUGGAUUCUUCAGCAACAGAGAUGUUGGUUGGUGCCGAAUAUGCAUGUUUAACUGUGGGAGUGCAGAGGACCUGGAUCUACAUGUGCAUACAAGGGAACAUCAGCAGCAUGCAAUGGAAAUUGUUCUGAAAAUGAAGCACGAUGUCGCAAAGAGGCAGAAGAUGAAUUCUGGAGGCCCCAAGUCAUUCAACAAAAAAGUAGCUGGGAAGAGCAACUUCCGUGGAAAUAGGCGUUAGACCUCUUGUUCUUAGUCCUGAGCUUGAUGAGGUUUGAAGGUUGCUGCAAAUGCUCUUUGGACUUAUCCGAGACUACUGAAAAUUGAGACCUAUUCAUGCAUUUGGGUUAAGGUAGUUCUGCAUGUUUGGGAAUGGAGCUUGUAGUGGCCCCAAACUUUUGCUAAGAUUGACAAGUUUAGGAAAUUUCCUGCGAGGGCUCCACGUUCGUACAAUCGUACUUGCAUGCUUUCCUGAAGGCGGUAAGGAUAGAUAUGUAUUGAACAUUUUUUACGGCGUGUUUUAACUUUGCCGUCAAUCUUUGGCCCAAAUAAAUUGAUUUCUCUAGUCAUGUCUCAUUUUCUUGACUACUGGUUUUGCCCCUAGACUGCUUUGCUUUUAUAUGAUGACAUUCGUUUAUCUGUAAAACCUGGUUGGGACUAACUGAUAACGUACACACACUAUUUUUGUGGUAUGUUUUGGCUAGAAAAUUAUCCUCUGCGGGGUCCUAAGUUUGGCAAGGCACUAUUGUGGUUGUGCACCAUAAGCCCCGCCAAAACGGUCAUACUUGCCUAAGCAAAGUAUAACAAAGUUCGGCAACUAACCUACACCCCAAACUCCCAAAUCAAGUUGACUUGAUAGUAGAUAUAUAGAGAACUUGUACUUGUUUUGACCUGCAUGCGGAUUAGAUCCGAACUUAUUUAAGUAGGUUCAGUGACCUAUGUGCAGCACCUUUUUAUCUCUUUUACUACUAGAACAUUUUUGUUCGUGGGUUACAAUUUUAAUUUUCCAAUCUUUUGUCAUGAUGUGAAAUCAUUGUGAUUGAAAUACCACACUAAACACCUUAAUUGAAGGUCUUACUUUUUUAGUAAAACUUUUGAGGCAUAGGCUUUGUGUUCAUUUUGCAAUAUCUGCUUCUUGUAUAUUAAGAACUACACUGAACACCAUGUAUCUCUGAUUUUUAGUGUGGAAAACCACCUACCCAGCAUUUCUGGAUCCUACCGUGCCUCUCUGGUUGCGUGCAAAAUGGUGAAAACCUAAAAGAGCAACUAAAUUUAGUACUGUCAGGCCUUGACAGUGGAGUUUUAUUCAAACUGACAUUACCGCUUCACUACCACAUUCAGAGAUUCAGAGAAAGUCUACGGGUCACGUGAAAUAGGAACCACAUACUGUUUUGUCAGACAUGGAGAUCAUAAUUUUAUAGAAAAAGCUAGAACAGUUUUGGGAAAGUGGGUAUCGCCUAAAUGACAAAGCAUAAAGAAAAGCCUUUAUUAGUUGGGAUAAACCUAAGGCUGGUUAAUAGGGGCACGUCAAGCCCUCAGUAUUAUCAACAAUUAGUUUGUGCUUACUUGCCGUGUGUUCCGAACAUUAUGCUUUCUACUCGAUCCUUUUCCUGUGUUUUUGCUUUGGAAGUCUUGUAGCACCCUGUCGGGAGUUCAUGGUGAAUGUGCUGGAAGCCCGAGAUGCACUCACGUGUGAUGCUCUUCGUCCCUGCAAGUGCCGUUCAGUGUCUCAGUACCAGGGCUGUAUCCACGCCAUGUUCUUCCGUUGGAUAGCUCUUUCGUUGUAAAAAUGACGCUGAUUCGUCACAAGUGUAUUUUUUGUUUACUAAUUUGUACUCCGUAGAUGUAUAUUGCACUGGUGUGAGCAUUUGUUUUGUUCUCCCUUCAUCUGUACUAGUAAAGAUUCAGCUAUGAACUCCGUUUUGGGUUAUUUUGCA